ensembl:lncRNA
UGAAGACCUAAUGGAAUUAAUAAAAGAAAACAAAUAUUGGGUCCACCUGGAGAACAGCUGAAUAGGAAACCAUUUUCCAAAUACGUUACUUCCGGCCCAGAUUUCCACACAGAAGUCCUUCAGACCUGCAGGACCUGUGUUCAAAAGCACAGUCCUUGUUUGCCCUGUCUCCCAGCUUGUCUACUUCAAAAAACAAAGCUAAACUAAAGCCCACCGCCUGAAUGAUGUAAUAAAUAUUGCAGGAUGUAGAACUUUGUGAAUACACUGAGAAGUGAAACAUUUCAACACAAGAGCCCAGGGAACUCCCCUCAGCACUAGCCUGCAUGCUGUGGUUAGGUGGCAGAGAGAUACAGCUGGAGAUAUAGAGAUAACUGCCAGAGAAUGGGAAAAGCAGAAAAUUAGCCCAGACAGCCCCAGUGAUGUGGUUGGGCUGUUUCCCACACCUCAGAGUGCAUCUUCACAAUGGCACUGCAGCGUUCCUGCAGUUUUACGGAAAGCUGCUCACACGUGUCCACAUUGGUUCCUUCUGUCCUGCUGCUUGCAAUGGGGCUUGGGGAAGUCGGAAAGAGCACUGGCUCCUUCUGCACCUGCCCUCAGUCCAUCAGUGAUGGAUCGCUGCCUGUCUACUGAGUUAAACAACAGUUUUACUGCUUUAGAACUUGCAAGUGAAAAAUACUUCCCAACUGCUCUGACCAGGGAUGAGAAGUUGGUGUGGUGUGCUUGGGAGGCUCAGCAUACCAUGAAGCUUCAGACAUGUUUUGGGGCCGUUGUUUCUCCCUGUCUUCGCUUACGAGCUGAAGGAAAAGAUUCUAGCUCUUAAGUGCUUGUUAGAGACACCUUUACAAACAAGGUGAUUUUUACUCUGAGGAUCCAGCAAUAGAUGCAGGGACACAGCACAGAAGGCCUGAUCCUCCCACACAUCCUUCUAAAUCCUGUGGGAUUCAAGCAGGUUGGGCAGCAGGCCAGGAUACCUUCUUAUUGAGUUGUCUAAGGUCGAGAUGGAAAUCAUUGGCUAAAUCAGAAGGAGAACUUGGGUACGCACAGCUCAUGUCACACAGAAACUCUGCAAGAUGCUGAGGCCCUCUUAGGGUCAAGCAGUUCACAAAGUGCAGUAUCUCUCUGCACCAUAUAUAUGCAUGUGUCAUGCCAAAUUUGAUGUGUUGUUGAGGAUGUUAUGAACAGUGUAUUGCAUUAAAGAAAGGCUUAAAUUUCUGCAGUCUCAAGGGAAACAGUGUUAUGAUCCACUCAAAAAGAUUAAAUAGCUUUCAUUCAAGACUUUCCCAAUCUAGAGAUCAUAUUUGUUAUUUGUGUAUAUUUUUACACAUAUUUACAGUGUUUGAAAUUGAAGAUGAUAUGCAGGAAGAGGGCUGACAGAUUUUUUCUGAUGUGCACAUUUAUAAAGGUGACUAUAAUUUUUCUUUCAUAGGCCCUCCUGAUACAGUCACCACUUAGGGACUGUGAUUUUGCCUUGUCUAUGUCAGUGUACAGUGCUUCUUGAUAGAUAUGGCUUCCACUUAUUUAUCAAUUUCUUCUCUUGGAAAAGUAGGGUUGAUACUACAGUCAAGAAAAAAUGAAGACAAUAUAGCAUGUGGCCAUCUUAGUAGGAGUUUUAGUAUUGCAUUCAGUGAUUUGACUUUAGUUGGUUAUUUUAAAGUUAGUUAGGUUUUAUAUGCUAUACAUCAAAAAAAUCCUUUCCCAAAACCUAAAUCAUAAUAAUAAUUAAAAAAAAAAAAAAACUUUUUGUGUAAAUGCUGGAUAUAAAUUAGACCAUGACUUUAUAUUCCUGUGACCAAUCAUACACUGGAGGAAAUAAUUCACUGGAAUUAGGUUACUCUCUUAUGCCAGUUUGUCUUCUUUUUACUGAAAAAAAAAAUCAUCUGCAGAUAAGCUGGUGGUGAAAAGAGAAUACCAUCAGUACAGGGAAAUUGCCUGAGCUGCGCUAAUCUGCUUUGGCUAAGGGGGACUGUCCAGCAGGCUGUUUGUUAUGUGGAUGUUUACAGUCUCAACAAGUGCUUUCUAUGAAAAGUUACUACUGCAAAUCCAAUGGAUGUGGCUUCCACCUUAAAAUGAUGGUCUGCAAGUUCUUUGAAGUGCUUUUCCACAUCAGAUUUCAAAAUGAGGCUGAAGGUCUUCUGCUCUGCACAGGCUUUCUCUGCUGGUUAAUCACUGCUAAUCACACCGAAACAUAGCUCGUGUCACGAGCAUUCAUUUCACUUUGUGAAAUCCUGGACAUGUGAGCACAGACUUUGAUGGUGUGCAGUGUCCCUGCACUAAUUGCAAGGGAAUUCCAGGAGUAAAUUUAAUUUGUUCCUUAGCUAUGAUCAUACACAGCUGUCAUAGUUCUGCACCUGUAUAAUCUGCUGUCAAGAGCCAAAUUCUACAAGUUUCGGCUUUUUGCAGCUCUGGAUUUGGGGGCUUCAUUGCUAGCCAUUAGAUUUAUUUAACCCUUAGUAGCUAUUAAAUUUACUCAACCUUGUCAGUGUGGAAAUGUGCAACGUUUUCAGAAACACAAAUUGUUGUGAGCACUGGGGAGGACAGACUGAGAAGCAGCUCACCCAGGUGAAAAGUAUCUAAACUGUAUCAUUUCAUUUGUUGUCAUGUCAUCAAAGUGCACGAGAGUGUUAAGCGAUACGAUUGAAUCACACUGAUGUGACAUGCAGAGUGCAUUGUGUUUUGAGUCUGUUUGGCUGGCUGGCAGUGGGAGUCCUGGAGCAGCGAUGGCUUGUUGGCACGGGGCUGCACUUACCAGCAUACUGACUGCUGACGUGUCCCUUCUGCACAGAGAUUUUGGGCAGGAAAAUACGAAAUAUAUCAUUCAAAAGGGCUGAACUUAAGAAUGACUUGACUUGUUUCCUUCUCUGAAUAAGGCACAAAUCUUUUGUCCCAAGGCUGUGGAUAACCAGAGUGGGACAGACAGUGACUCCUAGGAAUCUGCAUCAAUAUGAAAAAGAAAAGGCAGGGCAGGAGAUUUACCAUGCCCCAGAUAUACCAUUCCUGCACCCAGAAGGUUGACACAGCCUCAUUCUCUGAUAGGUUAAGCCAGUUCUCUGGCCUGUAAACUUGUCUGUGUCAUGAGUUGUCCUGUGUUUACUUUUCUUGAUGUUUCUGCAAGGUGCAGUUCAAACAGUGAUAAAGUAAAAUAAAAUAGAGAACUGGACUCA